rnacentral:rRNA from 1 species
ACCAGACUCCUACGGGAGGCAGCAGUGGGGAAUAUUGGGCAAUGGGCGCAAGCCUGACCCAGCAACGCCGCGUGAAGGAAGAAGGCUUUCGGGUUGUAAACUUCUUUUAAGAGGGAAGAGAAGAAGACGGUGCCUCUUGAAUAAGCCACGGCUAACUACGUGCCAGCAGCCGCGGUAAUACGUAGGGGGCAAGCGUUGUCCGGAAUGACUGGGCGUAAAGGGAGUGUAGGCGGCUCAUCAAGUUAGAUGUGAAAUCCCGCGGCUUAACCGCGGAACUGCAUCUAAAACUGGUGAGCUGGAGUGCAGGAGAGGUGAGUGGAAUUCCUAGUGUAGCGGUGGAAUGCGUAGAUAUUAGGAGGAACACCAGAGGCGAAGGCGACUCACUGGACUGUAACUGACGCUGAGGCUCGAAAGCGUGGGGAGCAAACAGGAUUAGAUACCCCAGUA